GACUGCGGAGCCUUGCUGUGGGGAGGAAGCAGAGCCUGUGCCCGUGGUGAGAGGGUCACUGACGCGCCGAGGUCCAGAGAGGUCCAACAGCAGCAGGAUGAGGCUGACUAAGGUCAUGUGGUACGAGUCAUGAUGCGGUCACUACUCUGUUAUGCUGGCUGUUAUCUACAGUACAUCCGACAGGGAAGGGGGAGCCCCAUGUCUUCAAGGAGAAAACAUUUAAGAAGAACCGUCAGUGUGGGGUGUGUCGUCAGAGUGUGGACAACACGGGGUCCUUUUGCCG